rnacentral:rRNA from 1 species
CCUACGGGUGGCUGCAGUGGGGAAUAUUGGACAAUGGGGGCAACCCUGAUCCAGCCAUGCCGCGUGUGUGAAGAAGGCCCUCGGGUUGUAAAGCACUUUCAGUGAGGAAGAACGCCUGUUGGUUAAUACCCAUCAGGAAGGACAUCACUCACAGAAGAAGCACCGGCUAACUCCGUGCCAGCAGCCGCGGUAAUACGGAGGGUGCGAGCGUUAAUCGGAAUUACUGGGCGUAAAGCGCGCGUAGGUGGCUUGAUAAGCCGGUUGUGAAAGCCCCGGGCUCAACCUGGGAACGGCAUCCGGAACUGUCAAGCUAGAGUGCAGGAGAGGAAGGUAGAAUUCCCGGUGUAGCGGUGAAAUGCGUAGAGAUCGGGAGGAAUACCAGUGGCGAAGGCGGCCUUCUGGACUGACACUGACACUGAGGUGCGAAAGCGUGGGUAGCAAACAGGAUUAGAUACCCUUGUAGUC